AGAGUUUGAUCCUGGCUCAGGAUGAACGCUGGCGGCGUGCUUAACACAUGCAAGUCGAACGGACUCAUAUUGAAACCUAGUGAUGUAUGAGUUAGUGGCGGACGGGUGAGUAACGCGUGGAGAACCUACCGUAUACUGGGGGAUAACACUUAGAAAUAGGUGCUAAUACCGCAUAAGCGCACAGCUUCGCAUGAAGCAGUGUGAAAAACUCCGGUGGUAUACGAUGGAUCCGCGUCUGAUUAGCUGGUUGGCGGGGUAAAGGCCCACCAAGGCGACGAUCAGUAGCCGGCCUGAGAGGGUGAACGGCCACAUUGGGACUGAGACACGGCCCAAACUCCUACGGGAGGCAGCAGUGGGGAAUAUUGCACAAUGGGGGAAACCCUGAUGCAGCGACGCCGCGUGAGUGAAGAAGUAUUUCGGUAUGUAAAGCUCUAUCAGCAGGGAAGAAAAUGACGGUACCUGACUAAGAAGCCCCGGCUAACUACGUA
rnacentral:rRNA from 1 species